CAAGAUUGAGAGGAGAAUAUGCUGCAGACAGAUGACAAAGUGUCACGAAUCCCGCUUCCUGAGUCUGUGUUUGCCUGUGUUUCUGUCCUGGAGUGUGUUUCCGGUGUCCUGGAUCGCACCCUGUCUGGUUGCCUGGCGAAUUAGCUUGUUGGGAGAUCGAUGUUCACCCGCACCUGUAUCCCAUCAGUAAUCUGCACACCUGUUCUGAUCAUCAACUCUCCCCUUCAAAAGCUCUGACCUGACAUCCAUUCCCUGCCGGAUCGUUAGCCAUGAACAUUACUCACCCGGAUCAUUUACCCCAUUCCCGCCUGGUCGUCGGAGGAUUCCGCUACCCCAUUGGAUCCACCUAUUUACUCCCAUCAACUCACCACCGCUGCCCGCUACGCCACCUGGAUAUAUCUACAUAUUCACAUUCACUUGUAAAUAAAUACUCACCUUCUUACUA